GGAGGACUGCCAUAUACCACAUUCUGCUCCUUGACCAUUCAAACCCGAAUAAGAAUACUUUGACACGGUAUUCACUUUUGACACGCUGUAGACCCAAUUUUUCUAAAUCUCAUUAAGGGUAAUUUUGGAAUUUUACAGCAAUAAAGGUAGCCGCUCCUUUCAAUAACAAUCCUUUCUUUUGUAUCAAUUGCUGAACAUGAAAGUGCAUCUGCAUAGGCCCUUUCUCUCCCACACACUGGCCCUUUUUCUCCACGCACUUGCCCUUUCUUUCUAUGCACUGAUUCUUUGAAGCAAUUAUUGUAAUGGAUUAGGAACACAACACCCUUUCUCUCUUUUGUUCCACAAACCCUAAAUUAAGCACAAAAUCCCCUUCUCUUUGGUGCUUCAGAAAUCGUAAAUAAAAAAGAGUGCGAAAUCGGUGUGGUGCACGAAGGCGAGAAGUCGAAAACGAUUAUGGUGUGGUAAAAUUUGAGUAUUGUUCAUCGUAUUAAUGUGAGUGUGAUGAAUCCCUUUUCUUCUCUCAUAUUACGUUGUUUAAGUUAUACAGUGUAUUCAUUCUUUUUUAUUCUUUUGAGAGCCAUUUCAUACGAUGGGAAUAACUUGGUUUCUUCCUGUUGCUUUUGUUCGUGUAUAUAUUUUUGUGUAGACUAUGGAUCAUAAUAUUUUAAUGCUACAGCAUUUUCUUUGUCUCCCUUGAUCCAUUUGUUCAAGGUGUGAUAUAGUUGUGUAUUUAGUUCCUUUAUUGACCACCCCUCUCGAAAUAACCUUGGUUAUUAUGGGUAUAGGUUCAAUUAAUUAUUAUAUAAGAUUUAAAUAGAUUUUAGUUAGUUAUUGUUGAGUCUUGGUUCCUAAAAGAACCUUCAUUCUUAUGCUUGAAUAUUCUAAUUGGAAUACUUUCAGUGCACAUCAUAUUCCUUUUUAAGAUGUUGUUUGAUUGUGUAAAAUUUUGAUUCAGACUUUUCAGAAUGAUAUAGAUUCCUCCAUUCCUUGUACCACCUUACCACUAGUAUUGAUGUAUUGUUUUCUAUCAUUUGUCCAAUUACAUUUUAGUACCUAAAAACUUUUAAUUUUUUUCUUAGACCAAACCCGAACCAAGACUUGUCCUUUACAAUAUAGUAAAAUUUACAUUAUUUGAACCAUGGUUAUCUUUAUUAACACAUAAUGGUUGGUUGGUGAAUGAAUUGGAUAUAUUUGAACUUUAUUUUAUUAGGUUUAUUUCAGACCAAGAUUAUCAUUUACUACAUUAGUAUGUAGAAGUAGAAUUGUUAUCAUCAUCAUCAGUACUUCCAAAUCAACUAAAUGAUCCUACUUUCCUCUAUAAAUGUGAUAGAAAAGAGACAAAAGAGAAGAAAAAAAAAGAUUUUACUAAAAGAUCGAGAACAAGGAAAAAGAAAGUGUUGAAUAACAAACUAUUCAUGAGUUCCAUUGUCACUUUCACAUUGGUCUUCUCAUCUCACUUAAGUGCAAAUAAUGCCUUCAAAACCUUGAGAAAAACCAUAUGAAAAUGAUGUUGUCAAAACUUCUUUUCCAUGUUCAAUCAAUUAGCAACCCUCUAACAUUAAUAUAAUACUAAAGUUUAAAGACUAAUGGAAAUUGUCAAAAUAUCAUUCAUUAAAACCAGAAGACAUCAAGUUUUUAUCUAUUUACUGUGAAAUCUUUGAAGAAGAUUAAAAACAAUUUCACAAUUUGGUGAUAAAAAAUGUAUGUCUAAGAGAAGGUAAAUUCCAUAUAGUUGCUUAACCAAACACAUUUGAAGUAUAAGUCUAAGCUAUUUAUAAAUUACUCAAUAUGUUCAUCUUCAUUCAAUGUGAUAUUUGUUAAGCUUUUUUGUAAGAUAUAUAAACAAAACAUAUUUGAUAUUCUAAAAGUGUUUACCACAAAGUCAUUGAUCAUCCUCAAAUAGAUCCACAAUUAAAAGUUGGAAGUGUGAUAAUUCUAAAAGAUGUAAGUAUUUUUUUUUUUUUGAAAAUAGUUAGUUAUUGACCUUAUAUUCCCACAUCAGUAUAUCGAAUAAAACAAUAAUGUCUGAACAAGAUGUAAUUUUUUCACCAAAAUGCGGAACACAAUACCUUAACAUAACACUUAAUAUUGUUAAGGUAAACUUUACAACUAUUAUCAAUUGUGCUUUUUUAUAUUUUCUUAACUUGUUUUGAGUACUUUCACUGAUAGUCUCGGUAUGUGUAGGUCUUCGCAACUGAUAUUGACUAUCCAACUGAUGAGUUAGUAUGUGCAUCACUACUAGUUGCUAUCAACAAGCCUCCAACACGUUCCGUUGAUGACAUCCUUAGUAAAUUCAUUCCACCGGUUGACAACAACAAAAACACCUUAAGGAAAUGGAUCAAACAAGAACAUUAAUUGUGGACAAAUUUGAGGACAUUCAUAAUUUCCUGUUUUGUAUUUUAGAUUUAUCGUUAUUGUCACAUUCAUGGAUCUGUUGUUACAUUAAGUGGUUAUGUUGUAAGUUUUAUAUCAUGUUGUUUUCAUAUAUAAAAAAAUUGACAAUAUGGUGCAGUAAUUGGUUAUACCUUCAACAUUAUGUGGUUAUUUAUAAAAUUGGUUUUGUACAAUUGACGAAAUCAUUAAUAACAAAAUAAAGGGUCAUCCAAUCUUGCA
rnacentral:lncRNA from 1 species